CACGGGCCCAGGUCCGCCCCCCCUCUCCCCGAGUGUCGGUGAAAACGAAAGCGGCGGCGUGAGCUCUCGCCCCUCGCCACUCGGCGGUGGGGCGCGAGUCCGUGCCGGCCCCGUUACGGUUUACGUACACGGUUGCUACCUGGUUGAUCCUGCCAGUAGUCAUAUGCUUGUCUCAAAGAUUAAGCCAUGCAUGUCUGAGUUCGCACCCCUUACGCACGGGCAAACCGCGAAUGGCUCAUUAAAUCAGUCUUGGUUCCUUAGGCGACACGGCCUCCUUCGUGGGGCAGUACGGAUAACUGUGGCAAAUCCAGAGCUAAUACGUGCAUUACGAGCCCCGACCCGUCGCAAGACGGGAAAGGGCGCAUUUAUUAGUACAAGGCCGGUGUCCGCGUCCCUCUUCGCGGGGGGGCGUAGACUCUACCCCUAGGUGAACUCUGGAUAAUUUUUGUUGACCGCUUCGUUCAUACCCUUGAACGGCGGCACGCCUUUCAAGCGUCUGCCCUAUCAAAUGUCGACGGUAGGUUACACGCCAACCGUGUUGACGACGGGUAACGGGGAAUCGGGGUUCGAUUCCGGAGAGGGAGCACGAGAAACGGCUACCAAUUCUAAGGAAGGCAGCAGGCGCGCAACUUACCCACUCCCGGCUCGGGGAGGUAGUGACGAGAAAUAACGAUGCGGGUCUCGAGUCGGGCCCCGCGGUCGGAAUGAGCGCAGUCCAAACCCUUGAAGCGACGACCCAUCGGAGGGCAAGCCUGGUGCCAGCAGCCGCGGUAAUUCCAGCUCCGAUAGCGUAUAUUAAAGCUGCUGCAGUUAAAAAGCUCGUAGUUGGAUCUCGGCGCGGGCGGUCACGUCGGCGGGGGUGCGUCGCUCCUGGCGGCCUCUCCCCGUCGAAGUGUCCGUCCCGCCCCGCUGGCGCCUGCUCUCUCCCGGAUGCCGGCCUUAAGUGGUCGGCCCGGGCGGCAGGCCUUUUACUUUGAAAAAAUUAGAGUGUUCAAAGCGGGCCGGUAGAGCCCGGAUAACGGUGCAUGGAAUGAUGGAAUAGGACCGCCGUCCUGUUUCGGCCGGUCUGAGGGACGGAGGUAAUGAUUGAAAGGGACGGCCGGGGGCAUUCGUAUCGCAGCGGGAGAGGUGAAAUUCGUUGAUCGUUGCGAGACGGACCAGAGCGAAAGCAUUUGUCAAGAGUGUUUUCUUUAAUCAAGAACGAAAGUCGGAGGCUCGAAGACGAUCAGAUACCGUCGUAGUUCCGACCGUAAACUAUGCCGACCGGCGAUCCGCGGAGGUCUUCGAUUGGGACCGCGCGGGCGGCCCCCGGGAAACCUGAGUCUCUGGGUUCCGGGGGGAGUAUGGUCGCAAAGCUGAAACUUAAAGGAAUUGACGGAAGGGCACCACCAGGAGUGGGGUCUGCGGCUUAAUUUGACCCAACACGGGAAAACUCACCCGGUCCGGACACUGCCAGGAUUGACAGACUGAGGCUCUUUCUUGAUUCAGUGGGUGGUGGUGCAUGGCCGUUCUUAGUUGGUGGAGCGAUCUGUCUGGUUAAUUCCGAUAACGAACGAGACUCCGGCCUACUAAUUAGCGUGUC
rnacentral:rRNA from 1 species